rnacentral:tRNA from 1 species
GGAGGUAAUAGUUUUGCUCCUGAUCUGCUAAAUCUAGGAGCCUGCGGUUAAAGUCCGUUGUACCUUCG